AGUGUUUAUAUCCCUGUGAGUUUAACACUUCAUGACUGAGAGCUGUCCUUCAUGACAACAGAACCCACAACAACCAUGACUUUUAUCACCAUCUUCAUCUGGACACUUGCUUUCUACAUACAAGAAUCCAGAGGACAGAUCACUGUGACUCAGACUCCUGCAGUGAAAACUGUUCUCCCAGGAGAGACAGUCUCUCUGAACUGUAAAACCGGCAGUAAUGUGUAUCCUGACUGUAAUAGGUCAGGUAAACCAUGUUUAGCCUGGUAUCAACAGAAACCUGGAGAAACUCCUAAACAACUGGUCUACCAUGGAAGCACCCUCUUCUCUGGGACUCCAUCUAGAUUCAGUGGCAGUGGAUCAAGGAGUGACUUCACUCUGACCAUCAGUGGAGUCCAGGCUGAAGAUGCAGGAGAUUACUACUGUCAGAGUAUACACGUCAUCAAUAGUAAAGAUGUGUCUACACAGUGAUACAGAGUUGUACAAAAACCUCCCUCAGUCAGACUGCACAGUGACUGUACUGAUACAGCUGGGACCUACUGCAGGUGCUGAGGGGGAAGAGACAGUGACAUGGAACAAUGGUCACUAGAUGACGCCAACUGUGACAUGUGACAAUAUGGUUAGAAAGCAAUCACUCAGAUCACAUGACCAUCAUUGUGACAAUCGUCAUGUUUGUGACAAUAGAAUGACAUAUAUACACU